CAGGGGGUAUGGGUCCAAUAGCUUAUGGAUCGACCAAUCAGGAUCGUUUUUCAAUCCCGUGUGGCCAGAGCCACUCAACGAUGGCUCUGGGUACGAGAUUGUAUAUAUAUAUAUGAAUGGGUGUGAGGUACCAUGUCUGGAUAGUGUAUAAACUUUGCUAUAAGAUUUCUUCAGACAUAAAAAUACACAAAAUUACAAUAAUAUUUCCUCCUAUUUAUAUAAAACUAAUUAAAAUACAAAAUUUACAAUGAGUAUGCUAAUGUUUAUAAAAAUGUGCAAAACAUGCAAUUGAUUUAUUGUCCUGUAGUUUAAAAAAUACUAUGUAAUGUUAGAUUAAAAUAAUUCAAACAUGCAACUGAUUUAUUGUCCCGUAGUUUAAAGUACUAUACAAUGUUAAUAGAUUAUAAUAGUUCAAACACUAAUUGCUUUACCAGUACAACCGUUCAUCAAGUCUCCAGAAUGUUUUUGUAUUUCAAAUGCUUCGACGUAUUUCCUCUCCCCAUCGUUCAUAUAUAUAUAUAUAUAUAUAUAUAUAUAUAUAUAUAUAUAUAUAUAUAUAUAUAUAUAU